CAGUGAUAAACUGGAGGAAGGUGGGGAUGACGUCAAGUCAUCAUGGCCCUUACGACCAGGGCUACACACGUGCUACAAUGGCGCAUACAAAGAGAAGCGACCUCGCGAGAGCAAGCGGACCUCAUAAAGUGCGUCGUAGUCCGGAUUGGAGUCUGCAACUCGACUCCAUGAAGUCGGAAUCGCUAGUAAUCGUGGAUCAGAAUGCCACGGUGAAUACGUUCCCGGGCCUUGUACACACCGCCCGUCACACCAUGGGAGUGGGUUGCAAAAGAAGUAGGUAGCUUAACCUUCGGG
rnacentral:rRNA from 1 species